rnacentral:rRNA from 1 species
CCUACGGGCGGCAGCAGUGAGGAAUAUUGGUCAAUGGACGCAAGUCUGAACCAGCCAUGCCGCGUGCAGGAAGACGGCUCUAUGAGUUGUAAACUGCUUUUGUACGAGGGUAAACGCAGAUACGCGUAUCUGUCUGAAAGUAUCGUACGAAUAAGGAUCGGCUAACGCCGUGCCAGCAGCCGCGGUACUACGGAGGAUUCAAGCGUUAUCCGGAUUGAUUGGGUUUAAAGGGUUCGUAGGCGGUCGGAUAAGUUAGAGGUGAAAUCCCGAGGCUCAACUUCGGAAUUGCAUCUGAUACUGUUCGGCUAGAGAGUAGUUGCGGUAGGCGGAAUGUAUGGUGUAGCGGUGAAAUGCUUAGAGAUGAUAAAGAAAACCGAUUGCGAAGGCAGCUUACCAAGCUACUUCUGACGUUGAGGCACGAAAGCGUGGGGAGCAAACAGGAUUAGAUACCCCGGUAGUC